UUAUGGCUCAGGAUGAACGCUGGCGGCGUGCCUAACACAGUGCAAGUCGAGCGAUUACUUCGGUAAAGAGCGGCGGACGGGUGAGUAACGCGUGGGUAACCUGCCUCAAUACACAUGGAUAACAUACCGAAAGGUAUGCUAAUACAGGUAUAAUAUAAGAGAUUCACAUGGAUUUCUUAUCAAAGCUCCGGCGGUAUGAGAUGGACCCGCGUCUGAUUAGCUAGUUGGUAAGGUAAUGGCUUACCAAGGCGACGAUCAGUAGCCGACCUGAGAGGGUGAUCGGCCACAUUGGAACUGAGACACGGUCCAAACUCCUACGGGAGGCAGCAGUGGGGAAUAUUGCACAAUGGGCGAAAGCCUGAUUGCAGCAACGCCGCGUGAGUGAUGAAGGCCUUCGGGUCGUAAAACUCUGUCCUCAAGGAAGAUAAUGACGGUACUUGAGGAGGAAGCCCCGGCUAACUACGUGCCAGCCGCCGC
rnacentral:rRNA from 1 species